rnacentral:rRNA from 1 species
AGAGUUUGAUCAUGGCUCAGAUUGAACGCUGGCGGCAGGCCUAACACAUGCAAGUCGAACGGUAACAGGAAGAAGCUUGCUUCUUCGCUGACGAGUGGCGGACGGGUGAGUAAUGUCUGGGAAACUGCCUGAUGGAGGGGGAUAACUACUGGAAACGGUAGCUAAUACCGCAUAAUGUCGCAAGACCAAAGAGGGGGACCUUCGGGCCUCUUGCCAUCGGAUGUGCCCAGAUGGGAUUAGCUUGUUGGUGGGGUAACGGCUCACCAAGGCGACGAUCCCUAGCUGGUCUGAGAGGAUGACCAGCCACACUGGAACUGAGACACGGUCCAGACUCCUACGGGAGGCAGCAGUGGGGAAUAUUGCACAAUGGGCGCAAGCCUGAUGCAGCCAUGCCGCGUGUAUGAAGAAGGCCUUCGGGUUGUAAAGUACUUUCAGCGGGGAGGAAGGGAGUAAAGUUAAUACCUUUGCUCAUUGACGUUACCCGCAGAAGAAGCACCGGCUAACUCCGUGCCAGCAGCCGCGGUAAUACGGAGGGUGCAAGCGUUAAUCGGAAUUACUGGGCGUAAAGCGCACGCAGGCGGUUUGUUAAGUCAGAUGUGAAAUCCCCGGGCUCAACCUGGGAACUGCAUCUGAUACUGGCAAGCUUGAGUCUCGUAGAGGGGGGUAGAAUUCCAGGUGUAGCGGUGAAAUGCGUAGAGAUCUGGAGGAAUACCGGUGGCGAAGGCGGCCCCCUGGACGAAGACUGACGCUCAGGUGCGAAAGCGUGGGGAGCAAACAGGAUUAGAUACCCUGGUAGUCCACGCCGUAAACGAUGUCGACUUGGAGGUUGUGCCCUUGAGGCGUGGCUUCCGGAGCUAACGCGUUAAGUCGACCGCCUGGGGAGUACGGCCGCAAGGUUAAAACUCAAAUGAAUUGACGGGGGCCCGCACAAGCGGUGGAGCAUGUGGUUUAAUUCGAUGCAACGCGAAGAACCUUACCUGGUCUUGACAUCCACGGAAGUUUUCAGAGAUGAGAAUGUGCCUUCGGGAACCGUGAGACAGGUGCUGCAUGGCUGUCGUCAGCUCGUGUUGUGAAAUGUUGGGUUAAGUCCCGCAACGAGCGCAACCCUUAUCCUUUGUUGCCAGCGGUCCGGCCGGGAACUCAAAGGAGACUGCCAGUGAUAAACUGGAGGAAGGUGGGGAUGACGUCAAGUCAUCAUGGCCCUUACGACCAGGGCUACACACGUGCUACAAUGGCGCAUACAAAGAGAAGCGACCUCGCGAGAGCAAGCGGACCUCAUAAAGUGCGUCGUAGUCCGGAUUGGAGUCUGCAACUCGACUCCAUGAAGUCGGAAUCGCUAGUAAUCGUGGAUCAGAAUGCCACGGUGAAUACGUUCCCGGGCCUUGUACACACCGCCCGUCACACCAUGGGAGUGGGUUGCAAAAGAAGUAGGUAGCUUAACCUUCGGGAGGGCGCUUACCACUUUGUGAUUCAUGACUGGGGUGAAGUCGUAACAAGGUAACCGUAGGGGAACCUGCGGUUGGAUCACCU